rnacentral:misc_RNA from 1 species
GAUGAAGAACGUAGUGAAAUGCGAUAAGUAAUGUGAAUUGCAGAAUUCAGUGAAUCAUCGAAUCUUUGAACGCACAUUGCGCCCGCCAGUAUUCUGGCGGGCAUGCCUGUUCGAGCGUCAUUUCAACCAUCAAGCCCCAGGCUUGUGUUGGGGACCUGCGGCUGCCGCAGGCCCUGAAAACCAGUGGCGGGCUCGCUGUCACACCGGGCGUAGUAGAUUUUAUCUCGCUCAGGGCGUGCUGCGGGUUCCGGCCGUUAAAAAGCCUUUUUUACCCAAGGUUGACCUCGGAUCAGGUAGGAAGACCCGCUGAACUUAAGCAUAUCAAUAGCGGAGGA